UACAGAGGAUGCAAGCGUUAUCCGGAAUGAUUGGGCGUAAAGCGUCCGCAGGUGGUUUUGUAAGUCUGCUGUUAAAGCGUUAGGCUCAACCUAAUAAGGGCAGUGGAAACUAUGAGACUAGAGUAUGUUAGGGGUAGAGGGAAUUCCCAGUGUAGCGGUGAAAUGCGUAGAGAUUGGGAAGAACACCGGUGGCGAAAGCGCUCUGCUAGGCCGCAACUGACACUGAGGGACGAAAGCUAGGGGAGCGAAUGGG
rnacentral:rRNA from 1 species